GGAAGCCGAAGAGUCCCACAAUAGGACGAAAUGGCCGUCCAAUGC
rnacentral:hammerhead_ribozyme from 1 species